UGGGGAAUAUUGCACAAUGGGCGCAAGCCUGAUGCAGCCAUGCCGCGUGUAUGAAGAAGGCCUUCGGGUUGUAAAGUACUUUCAGCGGGGAGGAAGGUGUUGUGGUUAAUAACCACAGCAAUUGACGUUACCCGCAGAAGAAGCACCGGCUAACUCCGUGCCAGCAGCCGCGGUAAUACGGAGGGUGCAAGCGUUAAUCGGAAUUACUGGGCGUAAAGCGCACGCAGGCGGUCUGUCAAGUCGGAUGUGAAAUCCCCGGGCUCAACCUGGGAACUGCAUCCGAAACUGGCAGGCUUGAGUCUUGUAGAGGGGGGUAGAAUUCCAGGUGUAGCGGUGAAAUGCGUAGAGAUCUGGAGGAAUACCGGUGGCGAAGGCGGCCCCCUGGACAAAGACUGACGCUCAGGUGCGAAAGCGUGGGGAGCAUACA
rnacentral:rRNA from 1 species